CGUCACUGGCAUGACGUUAUUGCAAACAACCUAUUCCCCACAUGUGGCUCCAUCUCUCCUGUCCUGUGUGGAUUUGAUCGCCCUAAAGGUGAGCCCUGCAUAUGGAGGCUUGUAACAAAAACAAGACUGUGCAGAACAACAUCAACAGCAAUAAGCUGCACACAAUGGUUAACAUGACAGCAUUAGAAGGAAAGCAGCAGGGUGGCAGCAAAUAUCAUCUACCCGAGAGAGAAGAAGGAUCCAAACCCUUCUCUUGUAUCAGACAACCUGAGCAAGACCAGGCGGCCUUUGUACAUUUGAAGUAAUCCUUGGAUUUUUAUGUAUAUGAUGUGUUUCCAUUCAAUGCAGCAGGAGGGGAGGUGGACUGUCAGACAUUCAACUGGUCUUCAUGUUAACAUGAACUUUUGUUAAUUUUGACCAAGCAGCAACCUCCGGCCAUGAGAAGUGAAGCCAAUGCGGA